GCGGACGUGGUGGAAUUGGUAGACACGCUAGACUUAGGAUCUAGUGAGAUUAUCUCGUGAGAGUUCGAGUCUCUCCGUCCGCA
rnacentral:tRNA from 1 species